rnacentral:lncRNA from 1 species
UCUCAGAGGAAUGGCUGACAGGGAGAGCUGUCUCUAGUUUGUUCAAAGGACAUCCAUGUUGCCUAACAUGACAUUCAUCCCUGUUCGGGGUUUGUUAAAUGAAGAGAAGCUGCCUGAGACUGUAGCCCAGGCAGUCACGUGACCCAUAGGUCCCUGCGCUCCCAUCGCUUCUGUUCUGUCCAACACACACUCACACACACUCACACACACUCAGGGAUCCAAACUUUGGUCCUUAUGCCUAUGUAAAGUCCCGUUUAGCUUUUUGUUGACUUGACACAGAUGGAGUCAUUGGAGAAGAAGGAACUUCAACUGGGAAAAAAAACCCCACCAGAUUGGCCUGACGAAUAAUUAAGGUUCCUGCCCUGACUGCUCUCAGUGAUGGAGUGAGACCUAAGAUUUGGAACCCGAAGUAAACCCUCAGCUCGCCAAGUUGCUCAUGGUUUUCAUCUCAGCCACAGGGACACAUCAGGUGGGACGUGCUAGAAGCUGCCCGCGGGUUUUCCAAGUGAAGAUGACCCUUCUGGGUCCUGUCCAGAUGUACACAGGAAUCCAGAGCUUCAAGGGGUCUGGAGCCAGCAGAUGGUGAGAUGCACUGAGGUGGAAGGCAGGACAGGAUCAUCCAUCAGGAGCCUUGAGUGUAUAAGGAGCAGACAGAGGCCUGGACCACAUGCGGGUGAAAUUCUAUAUUUCAGACUCAGGAAGCAGAGAAGUCACAGAGAGGCUGGAGACCUGGGGAGUCUGAGACAUGAUGUUCUGGGUGACCUUCAGAGAGGGAGCUGUCAAAGCUUUCUGGGAGAAGAAAGCAAUCAGAAGAGGAUGGACUGUAUCCCUCUGCGACUGUGAGCCAAAAGAAAAAUCUCUCGAGCUGCCUUUAUCAGGGUAUUUUAUCCCAGAAACAGAAAGGAAACAGACACAUCUGGAUGUUUUAUUUUGAUUUUAUCCCAUGAGUUCUGGGAGAUAGAACUGAAGCAAGUAUUUUAUACCAACUGAGCUAUAUCCCCAGCCCUACAAGUUAAAUUCUCUAACUGCCUGAUUCACCUCAAAGACAUAAUGAUGAUCUCUGGUUUGGAUCUCAAGACCUGUGAGCAGAGGGAGAGAGAUGGGGCUUUAGCCAAACACCUCACCUGACCAUGGAAGAGACAUGAGGUUUUCCUAUACAUCAUCUAACUGAACUCUCCCAGGUUAGGUCCACCACAGAGAUGUGUGUCACCUUCUUCUAUGGAUCUAGAAAUGGACAUGUAAUGAGAUGGAUUGAGCUCCAGCUUGUGGGUUUCUUUUAUUGAGAAUCCCCUGAAGGCAGAGUGAGUGUUAACAUUUUGU